UAACUUGGCUUUGGUUGCUGGCGUCUGAAGUCAGGUCAUAGAAGGUCAGAUCGUUUGUGUAUUUACAUCUGGAGUACAUGAAUUAAAUGAAUCAGGUUAGUGUCUUGUGUGAGCCUCGUUUUGUGGCGUUACAGGGCAUGAAAAUUAAAUGACAAGACUAUAAGCGUAGAUGUUGAUGUACCGGGUGGCUUGGACAGGGGUUCGACUCCCCUCGACUCCACUA
rnacentral:tmRNA from 1 species